rnacentral:rRNA from 1 species
UACGUAGGGCGCGGAGCGUUGUCCGGAAUUAUUGGGCGUAAAGAGCUCGUAGGCGGCUUGUCACGUCGGGUGUGAAAGCCCGGGGCUUAACCCCGGGUCUGCAUUCGAUACGGGCUAGCUAGAGUGUGGUAGGGGGAGAUCGGAAUUCCUGGUGUAGCGGUGAAAUGCGCAGAUAUCAGGAGGAACACCGGUGGCGAAGGCGGAUCUCUGGGCCAUUACUGACGCUGAGGAGCGAAAGCGUGGGGAGCGAACAGG